GACGACUUCUGGUGACGGUAGGUAGAUAAGAAGCACCGGCUAACUACGUGCCAGCAGCCGCGGUAAUACGUAGGGUGCAAGCGUUGUCCGGGAAUUACUGGGCGUAAAGAGCUCGUAGGUGGUUUGUCGCGUCGUCUGUGAAAUCCCGGGGCUUAACUUCGGGCGUGCAGGCGAUACGGGCAUAACUUGAGUGCUGUAGGGGAGACUGGAAUUCCUGGUGUAGCGGUGAAAUGCGCAGAUAUCAGGAGGAACACCGAUGGCGAAGGCAGGUCUCUGGGCAGUUACUGACGCUGAGGAGCGAAAGCAUGGGUAGCGAACAGGAUUAGAUACCCUGGUAGUCCAUGCCGUAAACGGUGGGCGCUAGGUGUAGGGGGCUUCCACGUCUUCUGUGCCGUAGCUAACGCAUUAAGCGCCCCGCCUGGGGAGUACGGCCGCAAGGCUAAAACUCAAAGGAAUUGACGGGGGCCCGCACAAGCGGCGGAGCAUGUGGAUUAAUUCGAUGCAACGCGAAGAACCUUACCUGGGCUUGACAUAUACAGGAUCGGGCUAGAGAUAGUCUUUCCCUUGUGGUCUGUAUACAGGUGGUGCAUGGUUGUCGUCAGCUCGUGUCGUGAGAUGUUGGGUUAAGUCCCGCAACGAGCGCAACCCUUGUCUUAUGUUGCCAGCACGUUAUGGUGGGAACUCAUGAGAGACUGCCGGGGUUAACUCGGAGGAAGGUGGGGAUGACGUCAAAUCAUCAUGCCCCUUAUGUCCAGGGCUUCACACAUGCUACAAUGGUCGAUACAGUGGGCAGCGACAUCGUAAGGUGGAGCGAAUCCCUGAAAGUCGGCCUUAGUUCGGAUUGGGGUCUGCAACUCGACCCCAUGAAGUCGGAGUCGCUAGUAAUCGCAGAUCAGCAAUGCUGCGGUGAAUACGUUCCCGGGCCUUGUACACACCGCCCGUCACGUCAUGAAAGUUGGUAACACCCGAAGCCAGUGGCCUAAACUUGUUAGGGAGC
rnacentral:rRNA from 1 species